GUCGGACGGACUAAUUGGAGCAAGCCCCAAUUAGUUAGUGGCAGACGGGUGAGUAACACGUGGGAAUCUGCCUAUCAGUACGGAAUAACUUUUAGAAAUAAAAGCUAAUACCGUAUAUUCUCUACGGAGGAAAGAUUUAUCGCUGAUAGAUGAGCCCGCGUCAGAUUAGGUAGUUGGUGAGGUAACGGCUCACCAAGCCGACGAUCUGUAGCUGGUCUGAGAGGAUGAUCAGCCACACUGGGACUGAGACACGGCCCAGACUCCUACGGGAGGCAGCAGUGGGGAAUAUUGGACAAUGGGCGAAAGCCUGAUCCAGCAAUACCGAGUGAGUGAUGAAGGCCUUAGGGUUGUAAAGCUCUUUUAGCAAGGAAGAUAAUGACGUUAAA
rnacentral:rRNA from 1 species